rnacentral:rRNA from 1 species
AGUGGCGCACGGGUGAGGAACGCGUAGGUAAUCUACCCUCUGGCGGGGGACAACACUCCGAAAGGAAUGCUAAUACCGCAUAAGACCACGCUUACUACGGUGAGAGUGGUAAAAGGCGCCUCAAAGCGUCACCAGAGGAUGAGCCUGCGUCCCAUCAGCUUGUUGGUGAGGUAAUGGCUUACCAAGGCUAAGACGGGUAGCUGGUCUGAGAGGAUGAUCAGCCACACUGGUACUGGAACACGGACCAGACUCCUACGGGAGGCAGCAGUGAGGAAUAUUGGGCAAUGGGCGAAAGCCUGACCCAGCCACGCCGCGUGUGUGAUGAAGGCCUUCGGGUCGUAAAGCACUGUGGGGAGAGACGAACAUGCGCAUGAGGAAAUGCUUGCGCACUGACGGUACCUCCUUAGCAAGCACCGGCUAACUCUGUGCCAGCAGCCGCGGUAAUACAGAGGGUGCAAACGU